CAGGGGGGGACAUUACGAGUUUACACUCCCAAACCCCUGUGAACAUACCAAUUGUUGCCUCGGCGGAUCAGCCCGCUCCCGGUAAAACGGGACGGCCCGCCAGAGGACCCCUAAACUCUGUUUCUAUAUGUAACUUCUGAGUAAAACCAUAAAUAAAUCAAAACUUUCAACAACGGAUCUCUUGGUUCUGGCAUCGAUGAAGAACGCAGCAAAAUGCGAUAAGUAAUGUGAAUUGCAGAAUUCAGUGAAUCAUCGAAUCUUUGAACGCACAUUGCGCCCGCCAGUAUUCUGGCGGGCAUGCCUGUUCGAGCGUCAUUUCAACCCUCAAGCCCCCGGGUUUGGUGUUGGGGAUCGGCGAGCCCUUGCGGCAAGCCGGCCCCGAAAUCUAGUGGCGGUCUCGCUGCAGCUUCCAUUGCGUAGUAGUAAAACCCUCGCAACUGGUACGCGGCGCGGCCAAGCCGUUAAACCCCCAACUUCUGAAUGUUGACCUCGGAUCAGGUAGGAAUACCCGCUGAACUUAAGCAUAUCAAUAAGCG
rnacentral:rRNA from 1 species